GUUCCGCCGGGGCGGGACGGGGCCGGGAGCGCGGCCGGCAUUUCGUGGUUCUCACACGAGGACCGCGAUGGCGGCCUGAGGGCCCGGCCCUGGAGAGCCGCGGGCGGCCGAGAGAGGCCGCGGCGAGGGCAGGGGCUGGUCUGUGCCCUGUUGGGAGCCCUCAGCCAUAGCCAGGGCCAGGGCCAGGGCCCCGCUUGGGAACCCUCAGCCCCCUCAGCCAUGGCCGGGGCGAGGGCAGGUCCCACUGGGAGUCCUGAGUCCCCUCAGCCAUGGCUGGGGCGAGGGCAGGUCCCACUGGGAGUCCUGAGUCCCCUUAGCCAUGGCUGGGGCGAGGGCAGGUCCCACUGGGAGCCCUGAGUCCCCUCAGAGCCGUGCCCAGCCCGUGCGGGUGGUUGCCCAUAGAAGUGGCCGCUCUGGGUGAUGGAUAAACCCCGCUUGGAUCAUUUUUUCCAUUCUGUUCGCCAAGUCUGAACCAGAGCUGGUGGGCAGGGGUGUUCCCACCUCUAGGGUGCCCGUCACACCAGCUGGGUGUUUUGCUGCUCGAACACAGGCAUCUCCUCCUGCUGCCACCACAGCCCCAGAGCCGCCGAUUUCAUGGCACUUUGGGGAGGACACGACCUUGGCUCAGCAUCUCUCCAGUGUCAACCCACCCUGGGGAUCGAAGGCUGCGUUUCAAAUGAUGCCGAACCACAAAUGUGGAGCUGCUGCUGCUUCAGCCAGUCCUGCUGCCCAGGGGAGGGAGAGGCACCAAGUGCUCAUGUCUUCAGCAAGACUUCUGUGGAGUCUUCAAGGAAAUAAAACAGGCUGGAGCAAACCCUGUGCCCUUGGAGAAAAUUGUUUCCCCUUUUCCUCCAGGGAAAAUCCAGAGCCCGAGCAGCAGCUGUGAAAGGGGUGGAGAGAUAAAGAAAGAAGCUGGGGAGAUGCUGGAAGCGCUUUGGGCGACGCGCAAAGAAGGAUUUUUGCACGGAAAGGAGCUGUUUCAAGGGCCCAGCAGCAAAACCAGAGACACACACACAAAAAAAAAAUGCUUAUAUAUAGAAGAAUGUAAACCCUCCUGUAAGCAGAGUUGCCCGUGCAUGCCUCGUGAGAACGUAAGCGACAGUCCCUGUAGUGCCGGCGGUGCGAUCCCGGGCUGGGGGGGAUCUCCUCCCGGGGAUCUCCCGCUGGAACACCGCCCCGCCCCUGCUCGUGCCAGCGGCAGGAGGAGCUGUGACCUGUCCGUGCCGAGCUAUCGACCCCUUGGAAUGCCGAGCUGGAGGCGGGCAGCGCUCCCGCAGCGGGCGGUGUGUGUAAAUAUUGACGCUCCGGCACCAGAAGAUCUGCUCUCCCCCUGGGUGAUGUUUGUACUGGCAAGGGAAGCAUGCUGUGAACUCCCUGCGAAUUCCCUGUGAAUUCCCCGUGAAUUCCCUGCCCUGCCACAGCCGGGCAGCGUCUGUACCCUCCUCGUGGGCAGGAAACCAGCACAGUUCCUCUCUCCCCCCGUUUGUUUUCUCCCAGCCCCGGGUUUCGAUCAGCUGGGAAGACCAGGGAGCGCUUUCCAAAGGGAAAACAAAAGGCUCCGGCUCGGGUUUCAGCGGGAGCGGAGCGGGCUGAGAUCAUUGUCUGCGCUCCCGCCGCCCGCGCGGCUGCGGGGAAAGCCUGGAUGAAUUUUUAAAGCAGCUCUCGGCCAAGGCAGCUCCCAGCACAGGCUGGAAUUCUGUAUUCCAAGGGGAAAAAGCAGCCCAGCGUGGGCUGCUGGUCACCUCCUGUCGUGCUGCUCAGCUUUGGCCGGGUCAGUCCCGGGCUGCCCCGCUGACACCCAGCCCGGGGUUUAGCACAUCCAUUCCACAGCCCGCCCUCUUCUCCCAGAAUUAUUUUCAGUGGUAAAAACAUCAGGAAUGGGACCAGGCCUCCCGUCAGACACCUCUGUGUGCCCAGGAGAGGCGUCACCGACACAAACACGCAGCAAAUCACCCGAAAUCGGGGAGCUGUGAGUGAUGGGGGAGGACAAACCCAUCCCACUGCUGCUGCAGAGCACGGGCAGGGAUCGCCCUCGUCCAGCCCAGCCCGACGCUAAAGAAUUCCCUGCAGUCACCAACACUUCUUGAAUCAAUUCCAUCUGAGUUGAGAGUUUGUUCUGUCCCUGUGUCACACUAAAAUCAUGUUUCUGUAUCACAGUAAAAUUACAGGGGUCUUAAACCCUCAGCAGAGGCUGUUCCUGCUGCUCAACCCCAGUGCAGACAGAAUUGCACAGAGAACUUCUGCAGUCUCUGUGUCCACAGAGCCUGGAAUGAGGCAAUUCCCUGCUGGAAAACUGCACUGCCACGUGCAAAGUGGCCCACAAUGAGGACACAAAGGUACAUCCAGCUUCAUAUUGAAUUUUCCUAGGAAUGGUUUUAAAACAUCUGUCUGGGAUCUCGAUGGGAGCCCAACAUGUGAAUAACAAACUACCUGUGGCUCCACAUGAAAUCCUGGACACUCAUUUUCUGCCCAGGUCCAAACCUUUGGCUGUUUCCCACCCCCCAGCAGGUGAACAGCAUCUGCACAACAUUCCUUGGAGCCACUUGGCUCCCAGCAAAUGGGAUUUGCAGUCCAGGCCUCAGACUCAGCCCCGUUCCCGUGUCCCCCUGGGCUGGGGGUGAGCUGGACUUGCCCAUCCCACCCCUGGAGGGGACACUGGCCAUGCCAGCUCAAAACCCAGGAGAUGGGGCAGUGUGAAUGCCAUGGGAACUGGGCUUCCUGAGGAAGUGGAGGGGAGGGAUCCUCAUGUGCUGCUCCUGCCUUGGGCUUCUCGCCCUCUCCCAGCUGGAAUGUGCGACCCCUCACAUUCCAAAGGCCACCUUUGUUCCCAGACAGAGCCCUGUUCCCAGCACAGGACAAUCCCAGUGGCUUGGAUCACACUCCACCUGCAGCACAAGGAUCUCUCACAUCCCAGCACUUCCAAGCACAGCUCUGCCCUCCCCAGGAGUGGGAAAAGCUGCUGUUCCAGGAUGGCCAGCGCCCACCUCCAGGAAAAAAAUUAAACUACAAACCACAACAAAACAAGUGGAUCUUUUUUUUCCCUGACAAUAUUUAUUUGAACACAGGAGGGGAUUCUGAUGUGACUGAUCCAACCUCACUGGGCAGGAAAACCUGAGGGCU